UGGGGAAUUUUGGACAAUGGGCGAAAGCCUGAUCCAGCAAUGCCGCGUGUGUGAAGAAGGCCUUCGGGUUGUAAGCACUUUUGUCCGGAAAGAAAUCCUUGGCUCUAAUACAGUCGGGGGAUGACGGUACCGGAAGAAUAAGCACCGGCUAACUACGUGCCAGCAGCCGCGGUAAUACGUAGGGUGCAAGCGUUAAUCGGAAUUACUGGGCGUAAAGCGUGCGCAGGCGGUUUGCUAAGACCGAUGUGAAAUCCCCGGGCUCAACCUGGGAACUGCAUUGGUGACUGGCAGGCUAGAGUAUGGCAGAGGGGGGUAGAAUUCCACGUGUAGCAGUGAAAUGCGUAGAGAUGUGGAGGAAUACCGAUGGCGAAGGCAGCCCCCUGGGCAAUACUGACGCUCAUGCACGAAAGCGUGGGGAGCAAACAGGAUUAGAUACCCUGGUAGUCCACGCCCUAAACGAUGUCAACUAGUUGUUGGGGAUUCAUUUCCUUAGUAACGUAGCUAACGCGUGAAGUUGACCGCCUGGGGAGUACGGUCGCAAGAUUAAAACUCAAGGAAUUGACGGGGUCAUAGCUGUUUCCU
rnacentral:rRNA from 1 species